rnacentral:rRNA from 1 species
GCAUAUCAAUAAGCGGAGGAAAAGAAACCAACAGGGAUUGCCUCAGUAACGGCGAGUGAAGCGGCAACAGCUCAAAUUUGAAAUCUGGCCCUAGGCCCGAGUUUGUAAUUUGCAGAGGAUGUUUCUGGCGAGGUGCCUUCCGAGUUCCCUGGAACGGGACGCCAUAGAGGGUGAGAGCCCCGUACGGUUGGUCGCUAAGCCUCUGUGAAACUCCUUCGACGAGUCGAGUAGUUUGGGAAUGCUGCUCUAAAUGGGAGGUAUACGUCUUCUAAAGCUAAAUACCGGCCAGAGACCGAUAGCGCACAAGUAGAGUGAUCGAAAGAUGAAAAGCACUUUGAAAAGAGGGUUAAAUAGUACGUGAAAUUGUUGAAAGGGAAGCGCUUAUGACCAGACUUGGACCGGUUGAUCAUCCAUCGUUCUCGGUGGUGCACUCUGCCGGUUCAGGCCAGCAUCAGUUCGUCCCGGGGGAUAAAGGCUUUGGGAAUGUGGCUCUUCGGAGUGUUAUAGCCCACUGCGUAAUACCCUGGGAUGGACUGAGGUUCGCGCUCCGCAAGGAUGCUGGCGUAAUGGUCAUCAGUGACCCGUCUUGAAACACGGACCAAGGAGUCGUCUUCGUAUGCGAGUGUUCGGGUGUCAAACCCCUACGCGUAAUGAAAGUGAACGUAGGAGAGAGCUUCGGCGCAUCUCCGACCGAUCCUGAUGUUCUCGGAUGGAUUUGAGUAAGAGCAUACGGGGCCGGACCCGAAAGAAGGUGAACUAUGCUUGUAUAGGGUGAAGCCAGAGGAAACUCUGGUGGAGGCUCGCAGCGGUUCUGACGUGCAAAUCGAUCGUCAAAUAUGAGCAUGGGGGCGAAAGACUAAUCGAACCUUCUAGUAGCUGGUUUCCGCCGA